GACGAACGCUGGCGGCGUGCUUAACACAUGCAAGUCGAACGGAAAGGCCCUGCUUUUGUGGGGUGCUCGAGUGGCGAACGGGUGAGUAACACGUGAGUAACCUGCCCUUGACUUUGGGAUAACUUCAGGAAACUGGGGCUAAUACCGGAUAGGAGCUCCUGCUGCAUGGUGGGGGUUGGAAAGUUUCGGCGGUUGGGGAUGGACUCGCGGCUUAUCAGCUUGUUGGUGGGGUAGUGGCUUACCAAGGCUUUGACGGGUAGCCGGCCUGAGAGGGUGACCGGCCACAUUGGGACUGAGAUACGGCCCAGACUCCUACGGGAGGCAGCAGUGGGGAAUAUUGCACAAUGGGCGGAAGCCUGAUGCAGCGACGCCGCGUGCGGGAUGACGGCCUUCGGGUUGUAAACCGUUUUCGCCUGUGACGAAGCGUGAGUGACGGUAAUGGGUAAAGAAGCACCGGCUAACUACGUG
rnacentral:rRNA from 1 species